CACAGUACAGGCUUCCUUCCAGGGCUUCACGAGCUUAGGUUAGCUAAAGGAGCGAUUGCCUGUCUAGUUCAAUAUGCAUGUCUAUGAUAGAAACACAGGCCCUGUCCCAAAUGGUCCACUAUAUAGGGAAGUAGUGGUCUAUUUCAGACACAUCCAUACUUUUUUUUUUUUUUUUACAAACAGACUAUCCGUUUAGAAUGUCAGAAGAACAAUUUUUACAACAAUUAUUGUAAUUAUUUUUAAUGGCCCAUGCAAAACCAAGCAUAGGGUUACUAAGAAAAUACUUGUUUUAUCCCACCACUGCUGUAAAGCUAUAUACACUGACUGCUAUGUGCACUGCCAUUGGCUAUUGUGUCAUCAAACAGUUUCACAGUCGGAGUUUGUGGACUCCCACGUGCAAACGGUGACUCUCAGCUGUCUGAGACGAAAACGUUGGCGUGUGUUCGAACCAGAGCCGCGACAGACGGUCGGACUGUCGGGCUUCAGGACUCCGAGCGCACACGUUGCCAUGGAAAACAGUGAAGUGCGGAGAGCUCAGCUUCAUUUAUGAACUUUUAUUUCGCAUGUCGAGAGUAAUGAGCAUUGCCCAUUUAGGAAAUCCUUUCAGCGCUUUUAAUUCAUGGUUCAGGGACCUUUGAGGAUAAUUUUUAGAACAGGCUACACAGCAUUUCUGCUAAGCGGUCUGUCUAAAUUGUUUAAUGCGUUGUUACUUAAAUUUUUCCGCCUCGCAACAUUCCCAGCAACAACAAAAAUUGCCCCCAUAGGGAUAAAAGGCAUUGCACUGCAUUUUACAGUAGCACAGCUUAGAGUUAUGUCAUCCUAUUAACCCUCGACAAAAUGAUAUAUACUGCAAUAUAUUGUAAAUAUAUUCGCCCUUGGAAAAUGUAAUAUGUCACAACAAUGCAGUUUCUAGGCAACGUUUUCUGUAUUUGUCAAUGUAUUGUGAAGUGUUGCGAUAUCUAUUAUGUUCUUGUUAAUAUAUUUGGGUUAGGGCCAAGCUUAUGGGGUAGCUGCUUUCACGGCACGGUUUUAUCGAUUCUUGUGUUCAAGGUUAAUUUUAUUUGUUGUUAGCAAAGGGUUAUUGAUAUUUUUAUGGCUUCCAAGUAAUGGCUUUCCCUAAAUGUAUGGUUAUGCGGUGGAACGGUUUAUAUUACUGUGAUCAAAAUUGUGUGCUCUGCUUGAUUCAGUGACACGCUAAGCUUUAGGUCGGGUUUUAUACACAGGGUUUGGUGCGGACUAUUGUAGCUACUCUGAGUGUUUAUUGUUAUCCAGGCCUAUUAGCAAUAUUAUACGCUUUUUAAAAAAUGCCAUGUUUAGCCAAUCUAUUUAUAUCAGCAGGAUAAGUGGGUGUUAUAUCUGUGGAGUUGUCCCCUCAUCUCCUCUGCGGUUUUGAAAAUGUUUUAUGAAACCGGUGUGAAAUGAAGAUCAUCACUUCCUCUUAUUCGCUGAUGCGCUUCCUUGGCCUGCUGCCCAGCCUCUUGUUAAAGGCUAAUCAAUAAUGGGCCUGCGUGCUAUUUAGACGGUAACUGAUACCGAGGUUAUUUUUCUUAAGCUGAAACUCAGACGAAAACUAUGCGUGACAGAACAAAUGUGUUAGAGCCCGACCACAGGUUUCUCAACCAACCUACAUCAGAGGACAGUUGCGUGGAAUGUAACACUGGAAGGGCUACAUGAAAGUCAGAUAAACCAAUAAGGAUGGAGAUGCACACAGUGUCACAGUCACCUGACGCUUUGAUGGCUCCACCCACUUCCUGCCAUGGCUGCUGCAGGUUGUCUGGUUAGGACGGCAUCUAAGAUGAAGUGUAUGAGAAGCCCUUACAGACCCAGGAAAUCCUGGCAACAUACAGCUGACACAAAGUCUCAAUUUUGUGUAGAGAAAGUUAAAUGUGAUGCAAAAUUAAGAAGCCUAUAUUGUUUGAUAGUAAGAAUACAUGUCAUUCUGUAGCAGUCUCAUGCUAAGCAGAGAAAUCUGAGCAGCACUGGGCUUGCUUUGUAUUUUUGGAGUGCAGAACCCCUAAGAAAGAUCAGGUUGCUGCUGAAAGUGGUGUCUGUGGACCAGCAGGGGGCGCUUUUCCAUCUGGACCGAGUGAAAGCCCCAGUGCAGUCUUUUCUAUGAUCUAAGCACUGUGUUCAAAAAGGUCCUGACGCACUGUAGUUACUAAGACUCCAAUGGCAGUUAUCGAAAGACAAGGGGUGAAAAACCUUGGUGUCAUAGUGAUAUUUACAAACUGGCUCUCAAACUCAAAAUCUGACCAGUUGAUCUUGAUGUUGAUCGCUGAUUGUCUACAAAGUCCCUUCCCACCUCUAUCCCUCUAGUUUGCCUCUAAAAGAGUCCUGGCAUUCUCUGCCGACCACCCUGUCUAAGCAAACAAAUGAAUAAAUAAACGAGUGAAUAAAUAGA